rnacentral:rRNA from 1 species
CCUACGGGAGGCAGCAGUGAGGAAUAUUGGUCAAUGGACGCAAGUCUGAACCAGCCAUGCCGCGUGCAGGAAGACGGUUCUAUGAGUUGUAAACUGCUUUUGUACGAGGGUAAAUCCCGAUACGUGUAUCGUGUUGAAAUUAUCGUACGAAUAAGGAUCGGCUAACUCCGUGCCAGCAGCCGCGUUAAUACGGAGGAUUCAAGCGUUAUCCGGAUUUAUUGGGUUUAAAGGGUGCGUAGGCGGGUCGAUAAGUUAGAGGUGAAAUCCCGGGGCUCAACCCCGGCACUGCCUCUGAUACUGGUGGGCUAGAGUUUAGUUGCGGUAGGCGGAAUGUAUGGUGUAGCGGUGAAAUGCAUAGAGAUCAUACAGAACACCGAUUGCGAAGGCAGCUUACCAAACUACGACUGACGUUGAGGCACGAAAGCGUGGGGAGCAAACAGGAUUAGAUACCCCUGUAGUC